UACAGAGGGUGCAAGCGUUAAUCGGAAUUACUGGGCGUAAAGGGUGCGUAGGUGGUUGUUUAAGUUAGAUGUGAAAGCCCCGGGCUUAACCUGGGAACUGCAUUUAAUACUGGGCGACUAGAGUAGAGUAGAGGAAGGCGGAAUUUCCGGUGUAGCGGUGAAAUGCGUAGAUAUCGGAAAGAACACCAGUGGCGAAGGCGGCCUUCUGGGCUCAUACUGACACUGAGGCACGAAAGCGUGGGGAGCAAACAGG
rnacentral:rRNA from 1 species